rnacentral:rRNA from 1 species
UAGGGAAGUCUUCCACAAUGGGCGAAAGCCUGAUGGAGCAACGCCGCGUGUGUGAUGAAGGGUUUCGGCUCGUAAAACACUGUUGUAAGAGAAGAAUGACAUUGAGAGUAACUGUUCAAUGUGUGACGGUAUCUUACCAGAAAGGAACGGCUAAAUACGUGCCGG